UGAGCGGAAUACUGGAAAAUAUCCUGAUGUUAUUAUUACGAUUUCAAGGCAGGCUUCAUUCCUUGCUUGAGACUUGAAAGAACCCAUUUCUUAAAGUCUUUGAACUUUUCGAGGGCUUUUUUUAUCGGGCCCUAUUAUUCAAUUGUGUACGUUUAGGACAUUGAGGACUUAUUUAACAGUAUUAAAAAGAAAAAGAAAAGGAGAGUGAAAUUCGUUAAUAGUGGUUCAAAAAUAUUUCAAAAAUUGCACUAUUUUUUUCCUUGGAGAAUGGGAAUUUGAACCUAAACUAUUGAGGCUAAAGAAAAGGGAAAGCUUACUUCCAAGCCCAUGGGCUUUUCAAUUUUGUCUAUUAAGAAGUCCCAUUAACAAAUUGUGGCCCUAAUAGCACACUAUAGAACAAAAGGGAUUCUCUUGCUUCUCUAUUAUUUUUUCCCCUCCAUUUUAUUGCAUCUACAGAUUGAUAUCUGUAAUUUUGAAGCCUUCUUUAUUCUUACUUUCUUUUUUGUUUUGAGCAGCAUAAUAUAGUGGUAAGUUGCAAUGCCUGAUCCAUUCUUGUUAUCUUCUGCAUCGGUUUGUUCUAUUUCCUCAUAUAAAAUCUUGAAUGAAUGCUUAAAUGUUGGCCUGAAAAUUUUCAAUAGAUAUUUUUUUGCAGUCAUUCAGAAUUUGAAAUGCAAUCUGUUUUGGGUAAAUUCAACUUGGGGUUUGAACUUCAGUUAUUUGUGUUGUAAUAUAAAUUACUAGCUGUAAAGGGUUUUAUUUGCAAUGCCUAGCUGUUUAGUGAGAAUGAUUUGCUAAUAGCUUUUUCCACUUGGUAGGUUCUAAUGCUAUAUAUUUAGGGCUUGAGAGUUAUAAUUGAUUAUAUCUUGCUCUUUUUUUUAUCAUAGUGAAACUUUUUCUCUUG
rnacentral:misc_RNA from 1 species